GUGAGAAUCGUGUCUGUACGAAGACUCAGAUGACGCUUCUAUAUUUCUCAUGUCCAUAUGGGUUACAGGGAAUCGUAUCCUCUGGGUAACAGGACACUGAUGGCAGUAAAUGGCUGCUUUUAGCAGGGCAGUGCCUGUGGUCACGCAGCGGUGGGAGACUCGAUGUGGGACCCACAACUCAUUGAUAAGUGGUCAGUUUACUCUGGGAAAGGACAAGAUGUGGAUGUGUGUUCUAUUCACAAGUUCCCC